CGGUUGAUCCUGCCGGAGGCUACUGCUAUCGGGGUUCGAUUAAGCCAUGCGAGUUAAAUGUUCUUCGUGAACAUAGCGAACUGCUCAGUAACACGUGGAUAACCUACCCUUAGGACCGGAAUAACCCCGGGAAACUGGGGAUAAUACCGGAUAAGCCAUAGACGCUGGAAUGCCCUAUGGUUCAAAGCUCCGGCGCCUAAGGAUGGAUCUGCGGUCUAUCAGGUUGUAGUGGGUGUAACGUACCUACUAGCCGACGACGGAUACGGGUUGUGAGAGCAAGAGCCCGGAGAUGGAUUCUGAGACACGAAUCCAGGCCCUACGGGGUGCAGCAGGCGCGAACACUUUACAAUGCGGGAAACCGCGAUAAGGGAACCCCGAGUGCCAGCAUCAAAUGUUGGCUGUCCAGAUGAUUAAAAAUCAUUUGUUAGCAAGGGCCGGGCAAGACCGGUGCCAGCCGCCGCGGUAACACCGGCGGCCCGAGUGGUAGCCGUUUUUAUUGGGUCUAAAGGGUCCGUAGCCGGCCUGACAAGUCCUUUGGGAAAUCUGGCAGCUUAACUGUCAGGCUUCUAAGGGAUACUGUCAGGCUUGGGACCGGAAGAGGUAAGGGGUACUCCAGGGGUAGGAGUGAAAUCUUGUAAUCCCUGGGGGACCAUCUGUGGCGAAGGCGCCUUACCAGAACGGGUCCGACGGUGAGGGACGAAAGCUAGGGGAGCAAACCGGAUUAGAUACCCGGGUAGUCCUAGCUGUAAACGAUGCUCGCUAGGUGUCAGACACGGUGCGACCGUGUUUGGUGCCGCAGGGAAGCCGUUAAGCGAGCCACCUGGGAAGUACGGUCGCAAGGCUGAAACUUAAAGGAAUUGGCGGGGGAGCACUACAACGGGUGGAGCCUGCGGUUUAAUUGGAUUCAACGCCGGAAAACUCACCGGGUGCGACAGCAAUAUGUAGGUCAGGCUGAAGGGUCUUACCUGAUCGCUGAGAGGAGGUGCAUGGGUGUCGUCAGUCGGUACUGUGCAGCAUCCCUGAUUAGUCAGGCAACGGAGCCGGAGAACCCCCGGGCGGCCCACCCA
rnacentral:rRNA from 1 species